AUUGAACGCUGGCGGCAGGCUUAACACAUGCAAGUCGAGCGGAGCGAGGGUGCUUGCACCUUAGCUUAGCGGCGGACGGGUGAGUAAUGCUUAGGAAUCUGCCUAUUAGUGGGGGACAACAUUCCGAAAGGGAUGCUAAUACCGCAUACGCCCUACGGGGGAAAGCAGGGGAUCUUCGGACCUUGCGCUAAUAGAUGAGCCUAAGUCGGAUUAGCUAGUUGGUGGGGUAAAGGCCUACCAAGGCGACGAUCUGUAGCGGGUCUGAGAGGAUGAUCCGCCACACUGGGACUGAGACACGGCCCAGACUCCUACGGGAGGCAGCAGUGGGGAAUAUUGGACAAUGGGGGGAACCCUGAUCCAGCCAUGCCGCGUGUGUGAAGAAGGCCUUUUGGUUGUAAAGCACUUUAAGCGAGGAGGAGGCGCUCUAGGAUAAUACCCUAGAUGCGUUGACGUUACCUACAGAAGAAGCACCGGCUAACUCUGUGCCAGCCGCCGCAGUAAUAC
rnacentral:rRNA from 1 species